GAUGAACGCUGGCGGCGUGCUUAACACAUGCAAGUCGAACGGAAAGGCCCAAGCUUGCUUGGGUACUCGAGUGGCGAACGGGUGAGUAACACGUGGGUGAUCUGCCCUGCACUUCGGGAUAAGCCUGGGAAACUGGGUCUAAUACCGGAUAGGACGAUGGUUUGGAUGCCAUUGUGGAAAGUUUUUUCGGUGUUGGAUGAGCUCGCGGCCUAUCAGCUUGUUGGUGGGGUAAUGGCCUACCAAGGCGUCGACGGGUAGCCGGCCUGAGAGGGUGUACGGCGACAUUGGGACUGAGAUGCGGCCCAGACUCCUACGGGAGGCGGCAGUGGGGAAGAUUGCACAAUGGGCGCAAGCCUGAUGCAGCGACGCCGCGUGGGGGGUGACGGCCUUCGGGUUGUAAACUCCUUUCGCUAGGGACGAAGCGUUUUUGUGACGGUACCUGGAGAAGAAGCACCGGCUAACUACGUG
rnacentral:rRNA from 1 species